rnacentral:rRNA from 1 species
CAAUACCGUGAGGUGGAGCGAAUCACAAAAACCCGGUACCUCAGUUCAGAUUGCAGGCUGCAACUCGCCUGCAUGAAGUUGGAAUUGCUAGUAAUCGCGAAUCAGAAUGUCGCGGUGAAUACGUUCCCGGGCCUUGUACACACCGCCCGUCACACCAUGAGAGUCGAUAACACCCGAAGCCUGUGAGCUAACCGCAAGGGGGCAGCAGUCGAAGGUGGGGUUGAUGAUUGGGGUGAAGUCGUAACAAGGUAUC